CAGGCCUAACACAUGCAAGUCGAGGGGUAACAGGGGUGCUUGCACCCGCUGACGACCGGCGCACGGGUGAGUAACGCGUAUACCACCUGCCUUCUACUGGGGAAUAGCCCGGGGAAACCCGGAUUAAUGCCCCAUGGCGCCCAAGGGGGGCAUCCCUUUUGGGCCAAAGCAUUUUGCGGUGGAAGAUGGGUAUGCGUCCCAUUAGCUGGUUGGCAAGGUAACGGCUUACCAAGGCUACGAUGGGUAGGGGCCCUGAGAGGGGGGACCCCCACACUGGUACUGAGACACGGACCAGACUCCUACGGGAGGCAGCAGUGAGGAAUAUUGGACAAUGGGGGCAACCCUGAUCCAGCCAUGCCGCGUGCGGAAAGAAGGCCCUACGGGUCGUAAAACCGCUUUUACACGGGAAGAACCCCCCCGACGCGUCGGGGGUUGACGGUACCGUGCGAAUAAGGAUCGGCUAACUCCGUGCCAGCAGCCGCGGUAA
rnacentral:rRNA from 1 species